GUCCAGACUCCUACGGGAGGCAGCAGUGGGGAAUAUUGCACAAUGGGGGGAACCCUGAUGCAGCGACGCCGCGUGAGCGAUGAAGUAUUUCGGUAUGUAAAGCCCUAUCAGCAGGGAAGAAGAAAUGACGGUACCUGAGUAAGAAGCACCGGCUAAAUACGUGCCAGCAGCCGCGGUAGUACGUAUGGUGCAAGCGUUAUCCGGAUUUACUGGGUGUAAAGGGAGCGCAGGCGGCACGGCAAGCCUGAUGUGAAAGCCCGCGGCCCAACCGCGGGACUGCAUUGGGAACUACCGGGCUGGAGUGCCGGAGAGGUAGGCGGAAUUCCUAGUGUAGCGGUGAAAUGCGUAGAUAUUAGGAGGAACACCAGUGGCGAAGGCGGCCUGCUGGACGAUGACUGACGUUGAGGCUCGAAAGCGUGGGGAGCAAACAGGAUUAGAUACCCGCGUA
rnacentral:rRNA from 1 species